UAGGGAAUCUUCCACAAUGGACGCAAGUCUGAUGGAGCAACGCCGCGUGAGUGAAGAAGGUUUUCGGAUCGUAAAGCUCUGUUGUUGGUGAAGAAGGAUAGAGGUAGUAACUGGCCUUUAUUUGACGGUAAUCAACCAGAAAGUCACGGCUAACUACGUGCCAGCAGCCGCGGUAAUACGUAGGUGGCAAGCGUUGUCCGGAUUUAUUGGGCGUAAAGCGAGCGCAGGCGGAAGAAUAAGUCUGAUGUGAAAGCCCUCGGCUUAACCGAGGAACUGCAUCGGAAACUGUUUUUCUUGAGUGCAGAAGAGGAGAGUGGAACUCCAUGUGUAGCGGUGGAAUGCGUAGAUAUAUGGAAGAACACCAGUGGCGAAGGCGGCUCUCUGGUCUGCAACUGACGCUGAGGCUCGAAAGCAUGGGUAGCGAACAGGAUUAGAUACCCUGGUAGUCCAUGCCGUAAACGAUGAGUGCUAAGUGUUGGGAGGUUUCCGCCUCUCAGUGCUGCAGCUAACGCAUUAAGCACUCCGCCUGGGGAGUACGACCGCAAGGUUG
rnacentral:rRNA from 1 species